CAAUGAUGAUUACCUAGAUGACGAGUCUUAUUCGAGUUUUCGAUGCAGACAACAUCCUUUUUUAACCAUUCAUGCUUUUCUGACU
rnacentral:snoRNA from 1 species